rnacentral:lncRNA from 1 species
UUUUUCUUCUAAUCUUGACUGAUGGUUCCACCACCUGCAGCCUUUGUGGGUCUGUUUUUGCUCUGUGGCCACUGCAGCUGCUUUAUUUCCAUGUGUGUUUGGUUAUUUGACUCUUACUGCUCAUUGGUGGGGAUUCUAGGUGUCAGCUCCUUCCACCAGAGGAUUUUUUUGUUUCUGCUAGACAUCUCAGUACCCAGGGUUGUUAACAUCGGCAAAUGCCCUCAGAGCAAAAGUGGCUUUAGGACCCCUAUGGACCUUUUCCUUAAAUUUUUGGCUUAGUAUAUCCAUAACUGUGUUUUAUUGGCUAUUUGAGGCUUUUCAGAUUUUACUUCCUGU